rnacentral:rRNA from 1 species
AUUGAACGCUGGCGGCAGGCCUAACACAUGCAAGUCGAACGAGUGGCGGACGGGUGAGUAAUGUCUGGGAAACUGCCUGAUGGAGGGGGAUAACUACUGGAAACGGUAGAUAAUACCGCAUAACCUCAGAUGUGCCCAGAUGGGAUUGGCUAGUUGGUGUGGUAACGGCUCACCAAGGAGACGAUCCCUAGCUGGUCUGAGAGGAUGACCCGCCACACUGGAACGGAGCCACGGUCCAGACUCCUACGGUAGGCAGCAGUGGGGAAUAUUGCACAAUGGGCGCAAGCCUGAUGCAGCCAUGCCGCGUGUAUGAAGAAGGCCUUCGGGUUGUAAAGUACUUUCAGCGGGGAGGCGUUACCCGCAGAAGAAGCACCGGCUAACUCCGUGCCAGCCGCCGCGGUAAUUC